rnacentral:rRNA from 1 species
CACGGGGGGGAGCAAGCGUUGUUCGGAAUCACUGGGCGUAAAGGGAGCGUAGGCGGAUAGUUUAGUCAGAGGUGAAAGCCCAGGGCUCAACCUUGGAAUUGCCUUUGAUACUGGCUAUCUUGAGUACGGAAGAGGUAUGUGGAACUCCGAGUGUAGAGGUGAAAUUCGUAGAUAUUCGGAAGAACACCAGUGGCGAAGGCGACAUACUGGUCCGUUACUGACGCUGAGGCUCGAAAGCGUGGGGAGCAAACAGG